ensembl:lncRNA
CGUGUCUUCCUGUUUGUAAUAGUCGAUGCUUUGAUGACAUAUCAAGGAAAAGAUUGAAUCUGGAAACCGAGAUAAAACAUCUCAAUUCAGCAAUAGCAGUUGGCCUAAAUGAUGUCGAAUUGAUUUAUGGUGCUGCAGAUCCUAUCUGGCUGCUCUGCCCAGAGCACGUGCUUGGAAAAAGGACCUGGACAAGGAGCCUCACUGUCGUCGUUGCUGUUUUGUCUACAACUUUCCUUACUCACCCCUUAAGUUAGAGCAGUUUCUUCCAAACCGCGAUAAAUUGGUUUCUUACUCCCUUGUGCUCACAUCGGUAUUUUGAGUGGUUGUGUCCCAAAUCUCGGGAGGAAAACAGAGCAAACAACAGGAUCAGAGGCCAUGGGCACGGGCUGAAGCACAGGAAGCUCUCUCUGAGCACCAGGCAGCACUGCUGUGCUGUGCGGCUGACAGAGCGCUGGCACAGGCUGCCCAGAGGCUGUGAGGUCUCCUCCUCAGAGAUCUUUGAAACCACCUGGAUGUGGGCCUGGGCACCUGCAGUGGGUGUCCCUGCUGGGGCCUGUGCCAACCUCAGCCACCCUGUGAUGAUUCUGUGAUUCCCUCAGGUCUGGUCUCAGUGGAGGCAGUGUGACUUCACCAUUAUGCACAUACACUGCCUUCCCUUCAUCGCUGGAGCUAUAAGAGAGAUGUGUCAUGUUUGAUUGGGAAAAUAUCGAUGUCGGUGGGAAAUCCCUGAGCAAAACUUCGUCACACGCUUUAAAGGAGGAGAAAGAUUCACUAUUUCCUCGUACAGGGCAGAGUGCUCCCCGUGAAUAACUGGACCCAACCUAAAAGCAGAAGGAAGUGUCUUUUUAAAGAACAGAGGUGUGGUGAUGACACUGUCGUGCUUCAUAGGCCUUGUGUAACCGGUGACGUGUGCGGCUUCUGAAGAGCCGGUUCCCCAGUCAGGCUGAGGUCACUCCCCAAGAAGAACAAUAAAAGACCAAUAAGUUGGCUGGCUGCAGGGAUCUGCCCCAUUCUCCCAGUAAAAAGAUAUUCGCUGGAUACAAACAUGGGUUUCUGUGGACUGGCGUGACUGCUAUGGUGGUUUGCGUAAAUCCAAGCUGGAAGUUUUGAAAGGGGAGAAUGCCAACCCAACAGACUGAGUCUACGGCCGCUAAGCGCCCUGAAGCCGCAAGGAACAGGCAGUGCCAUGCUGAGGGCACGUGGUUACCUACAGUCGUAUCUAUGUAAAUGUCUCCACACUGACUUGUUCAGCAAUUUACAACUUUCAAAUUACGGUUGUUUAAAGGGUGUGAAAAGGCUUUAUGUCAAGAAAUUGCUUUCAUGUUCAACUGGAUGCAAGCUAGAGUCUACAACAGGGGAAUUGGUUCUCCAGUAAAGGUUGUUCUGCACACUGGCCCAAACCUAGCCUGCUCUUGCACUCAUGGCAGAGCUCUUCAGGGCAAUAUGAAAAUACAUCUUUCCUGCUUUCCUACAAGAAGCGUAUGUACGUUUAUUUAACUGAGGGAUGAUCCUAAUCUGCAGUAAUUCUGCAGGCAUUGGUGAAUGACGUUGGAAAUAGGGAAGUGAAAUGGCCAGGGAUUUCCAAGACAAAGAAGAAUGAGUUACAGAUAAAGUUGCAUCCUAUUGAUACACUCAUCAUCUGGGAAGAAGCCUGCUGGAUCACUGCUUCCCCAUCUCUCUGUAGCCUGCUGUCAACCCAGUAGUACACAACCCUACUGAACUCAAAG